GACGAACGCUGGCGGCGUGCCUAAUACAUGCAAGUCGAACGCUUCUUUCCUCCCGAGUGCUUGCACUCAAUUGGAAAGAGGAGUGGCGGACGGGUGAGUAACACGUGGGUAACCUACCCAUCAGAGGGGGAUAACACUUGGAAACAGGUGCUAAUACCGCAUAACAGUUUAUGCCGCAUGGCAUAAGAGUGAAAGGCGCUUUCGGGUGUCGCUGAUGGAUGGACCCGCGGUGCAUUAGCUAGUUGGUGAGGUAACGGCUCACCAAGGCCACGAUGCAUAGCCGACCUGAGAGGGUGAUCGGCCACACUGGGACUGAGACACGGCCCAGACUCCUACGGGAGGCAGCAGUAGGGAAUCUUCGGCAAUGACGAAAGUCUGACCGAGCAACGCCGCGUGAGUGAAGAAGGUUUUCGGAUCGUAAAACUCUGUUGUUAGAGAAGAACAAGGACGUUAGUAACUGAACGUCCCCUGACGGUAUCUAACCAGAAAGCCACGGCUAACUACGUG
rnacentral:rRNA from 1 species